CGGGGUGAGUAAUGCUUGGGAAUCUAGCUUAUGGAGGGGGAUAACUACGGGAAACUGUAGCUAAUACCGCGUAGUAUCGGAAGAUGAAAGUGUGGGACCUUCGGGCCACAUGCCAUAGGAUGAGCCCAAGUGGGAUUAGGUAGUUGGUGAGGUAAAGGCUCACCAAGCCGACGAUCUCUAGCUGGCUGAGAGGAUGACCAGCCACACUGGGACUGAGACACGGCCCAG
rnacentral:rRNA from 1 species